UUCAGGCAAUUUUAUGCGGCUUUUAUAUCUCAUAUUCUUCUGUAAAGAAAAUUCAUACACCCAAGUGGAUGUGAAUAAUAUGAUAUGUUCCGUCAUAUUUCACUUGUGCAGAGAGCUGGCACUCAGACUCUGCCUCUAUGAAGCUGGCAGGGAGCAGGCAAGUGAAAAAAGACUAGGAAAUAGAAGCCAGCCAGGGACACUCAGCCUUGCUCGGAGCUUACGCAGACCACUUUAGGCUGAGCCUCCAGCCUCCUGGAAGCCUCUCACCACACAAUGUAAAGCAUAAUUUCAGGAAACCGCUGUGAUGGGCUACGCAUUUGGGGGCGUACUGCUAUCAGUCUAACAAAACAUUCAAGACCGAUCAUUAGCUGUCGAUUUUACUGUUGGAACAAAUUUUAAAGAUAACCUGGCCUAACAUUAUUUUAAAGACGAAAUUGAGAGCAAAGAUAAAAGGUAGAGAAAGAUCUUCAAUGGGUUUCCCUUUCUUCUGAGCAGAAUUCAGGACUAAAAUUUUCCAUAAGCUAAGUUAUUGACCUCUCUUUAAACACACCAUGUGUGUUGGUUUACAGUCUCCUUUUGCAUGCAGUACCUUCUUCCUUUGGAAAAGUUUUACUUCCUCUUUAAGACCCAGCUCAACAUUAUCUCCUUGGGGAAACCUUUUCCUACUAACCCAAGCAGUUACCUGCUUUCUCCUCUGUGCUUUAAUAGAUCUUUAAAUAUAAUUUUGUUUUAGUGCCUCUCAUCUUUAAAGAGAAAAAUAAAGGUAAACAAUAUCCCUCUCUGAUCUUCCUCUCUAGUGACAUCCUACCCAUUUCCUCCCCUUUGCAGCUAUGAUUCUCAAAAGAACUGUUUCAGGCUUUUCUUCCUCACCUCUGUUUCCUCCUCAGUCCACUGCAGCUGGUUUCUGGCCCCUCCAUUUCACUGAGCUUAUUCUUGGUAAAGGCACCAGUGACCUCUAUGCUGCCCAAUCCCACGGCUGCUUUUCACUUCUUAUCAUACUUGUCCUCCCUGGGACAUUCUACAUAGUUGAUCACCACCUCUUUUAAACACCCUUGGCCUCUGGGAUACCACCGUCUACUGGUUGCCUCUGAUGACUUGGGGCGUGUCUCUCAGCCUCCUUGGGAGUUCAUCUGCCUCUCCUGGGUCUUUAGUGUUAGAGUUCCUCAGAGCUUAGACGUCAGUACUCUUCUCUCUCUUUCCUUUCUUUCUUGGUGAACCUGUCCACUUCCUGUCUUCAGAUUCUAUAAAGUCUCAACAAAAUGUCUUCAGGCAAGAUGACACCUUACGAGUUCUAGCUUGUCAAUCCAACCAUUUACUUACAUCACUAGCACUGUCAUGGUUAUAAGUGAUAAAAUCCCACUCACGACUAGCUUCAGAUAAAACAGAAAGGGAGACAGAUAGACAAAGAAACAGAAAGAGAGAGAGAGAGAGAAAACUAGAGAGAUUAGCAGAUAGACAGAGACUCUUAACUCAUGUAACCAAACCAGGGGCAGAAGCAAGAGAACUCCGUUACUCUCAGGACUCUUUCUCUCUGACUCCUCUCUCUCUGCAUGUUAUCAUCAUUCUUUCAAACCCACAUAAUCCCCUUCGAGGGGACAUAAUCAUUAACAGCUCUGAACAUAAACCCUCACAGCUCUACAACCAGAGUGUAAAAAAAUCCCUCUUCUCUCCACUCAGACUGAGAGAAGGAAUUUGAUUGGUCCAUUGAGGCUCACAAAAUUUUCUAUGAAUCAGUCACUGUAGCCUGGGAGUCAAGAUAUUGUGAUUGAUUCAGAUUGGGUCACAUGCGCACUUCAUAGUUACUAGAGGAAUAACGUUGGGCCGGGCAGUCACACAAUGUCUAUCAGUUAAACUAUUCAAUAUUUCCAUUUGGAUCGCUCACAAGUGUCUCAAGGUGAUAGUAUCCGAAAUCUAACUAGUAAUGUUCCUCCAAAAACCAUGAUUCUCCUCCAGUAUUUUCAGUCUCAGAAAAUGACACCCACAUUUAUGGGAUUGAUAGGAAGUGUGUUUGACAAUCCCUCUCCCUUACUGUCACCACCACCCCACCCACAAUCCAAUGAUCAUGGCCUGUUGAUUCUACAGCCAAGAUAUAUUUUGGAUCCAUCCACUUUUUUUCUGUCUCCAGUGUCACCCUCCUAGUUCAAGUCAAUGUCAUCUCGUACCUAGAUUACUGCAGUAGCACCCUAAUUGGUCUCCUACUGUCCAUUUUGAUAUCCCAUUCUAUAUCUCAAAGCAGGGUGAUUUUCUCAAAACUAAAACUCACUGUGCAUUGCUCUUGCUUAAAAUCUUAGAAAAGCUUCUCACUGCUCUUGAGAUAAGCCCUGACUCCUUAACUUGCCAUCCACACCCUGGAGAUCCAAUCUCUGCUUUCUUUCUAACCUUGUUUCUUUCCACUCUCCCCAUACCCCUACUCAAAAUGUUUCAGCCAUAUCAGACUUACAGUUUUUCAAAAGUAAUUUGAGCUUUACUGAGCUACAGGGCUUUCUUAUGAUCCAGGUAUCAUGUUUUAUGUUUUGGUAUCAUGUUUUUAUGUUUUAUGCCAGGUAGCAUGUUUUAUACUCUCUAGACCCUACAAUUCUUCACAUUAUGUAUCACAACUCUGAUACUUAUUUGUGCAAAAUUUUAACCGUAAAGUUCAUAAGGGUAAGACUGCAUCUGUCUUGUUUGACAUAGUACGCGUAGCACUUAGGACAUACUCAAUCAAUAUUUAUUGAAUGAAUGGUCAUCCCACUUUAUCAAGAUUCUUUAUAUAUCUGUCUUUUCAGUCAAAAUAUAAAUUCAUUCUUUUAUUUCACAAAUAUUAAUUGAGUUCCUGCCUUAUGCUAAGGAGAUAAAUAUUUGGGAUAGAAUCAUGAAGAAGAGAGAUGGGGUUCUUGCUUUUGAAAAUUUAGUCUUUUUACUCUGCAGAAACUGUGUUUUUCCUUUCUAUACCUCAAUUCCUGGCAGAUACCAGCUAUGUCAUGCUUGCUGAAUAAAUGAAUUAAUUAAUUGAUGGAUACUCUGAAGUUGAUCAUCAGCUCUUCCCUUUCUUGUCACUGUUCCUAAUCCUGUGUGUUUGGAAUGACCAAAACACUGAUGGCAGAGAAAAAUGGGCUAUAAGCCACAGGUUUUCUUGCUGGCAGUGACCAGGACCAAACAUAACAAUCGCAGGUAGAAGUGAGAUAAGGUCCAAGAUGGGAUAUUAGCACAAGGGAGGAAGGAAGGUUCUAGAUACAUGGCAUCUGGGAGCCCUGGGGCAAAAGGAUGGGAGAAAAAUUACAAUGUCAAUGGAGUAAGGAAGGAAAAAGGCCAAUGCCCAUUUCUCACUGAAGUUUCUUAUUUAAUGUUUGUCUCCUACUCUGUGUUGUGAGCUCUGUGGCAAUAGGAUCAAUGUCUUUCUCGGUUAUCAGAUCAUCCCCAGUGCCAAUCAAAGCAGCCAUGCUUACUGGAUGACUGAAUGAUUGAAUGCUCUGGUACAGUAGGCUCAAUGCCUCAGAAUCACAGGUCCAAGAAGAUACUGAGGCCAGGACACUUGUUCCUACAUCUCACAUCGCCCAGCGAACACUUCUGGUAGUUGGUUCUGGAGCUCGCCCUCUCCA